rnacentral:rRNA from 1 species
GAUCCUGGCUCAGGAUGAACGCUGGCGGCGUGCCUAACACAUGCAAGUCGAGCGAAGCACUUUGCUUAGAUUCUUCGGAUGAAGAGGAUUGUGACUGAGCGGCGGACGGGUGAGUAACGCGUGGGUAACAUGCCUCAUACAGGGGGAUAACAGUUAGAAAUGACUGCUAAUACCGCAUAAGACCACAGCACCGCAUGGUGCGGGGGUAAGAACUCCGGUGGU